rnacentral:rRNA from 1 species
CACGUAGGGGGCGAGCGUUGUCCGGAUUUAUUGGGCGUAAAGAGCUCGUAGGCGGUUCGCUAAGUCGGGUGUGAAACCUCCAGGCUCAACCUGGAGACGCCACCUGAUACUGGUGUGACUAGAGUCCGGUAGGGGAGUGUGGACCUCCUGGUGUAGCGGUGAAAUGCGCAGAUAUCAGGAAGAACACCAGCGGCGAAGGCGGGUCUCUGGGCCGAUAUUGACGCUGAGGAGCGAAAGCGUGGGGAGCAAACAGG